GGUCGGGCCCUGUGCGACGGGCGUCCGGGAAUCAGGUCAGGCCAGGAAUGGAGCAGCCUUCAACGGUGCCGCUCGUGUGCCGCAGGCAACCUGGCCGUC
rnacentral:SRP_RNA from 1 species